rnacentral:rRNA from 1 species
AUACGUAGGAUUCGAGCGUUGUCCGGAUUUAUUGGGCGUAAAGGGUGUGUAGGCGGCAUGGCAAGUCUCAUGUGAAAUCUCCCGGCUUAACUGGGAGGGGUCAUGGGAAACUGCCAAGAUCGAGGGCAGCAGAGGAAAGCGGAAUUCCGGGAGUAGUGUUGAAAUGCGUAGAUACCCGGAGGAACACCCGAGGCGAAGGCGGCUUUCUGGGCUGUACCUGACGCUGAGACACGAAAGCGUGGGUAGCAAACCGGAUUAGAAACCCCAGUAGUCC